rnacentral:rRNA from 1 species
CUUGGUCAUUUAGAGGAAGUAAAAGUCGUAACAACCGGUUUCCGUAGGUGAACCUGCGGAAGGAUCAUUACUGAGAGAGGGACCUCGCGUCCCCCGGGGGGCUUCGGCCCUCCACCUCUUCAACCCGUGUUUAUAAACCUCUGUUGCUUUGGCGAGCGCCGGGGUGCCCUCCCACCCCUGCCCUGACCCUAGGUCGGUGCGUUCUCGCCAGAGCCUCCAACCAUUCUGUUUAUUCAGUGACGUCCGAGUAUUAUUAUAAUUUAAAUCAAAACUUUCAACAACGGAUCUCUUGGUUCUGGCAUCGAUGAAGAACGCAGCGAAAUGCGAUAAGUAAUGUGAAUUGCAGAAUUCAGUGAAUCAUCGAAUCUUUGAACGCACAUUGCGCCCCUGUGGUAUUCCGAGGGGCAUGCCUGUUCGAGCGUAUUGCAACCCUCAAGCUUCGCUUGGUAUUGAGCUUUUCGCCCGAGAUGGCGUGCUCGAAAAAUUAGUGGCGGUCCGGGGAGACUUCAAGCGCAGUAAAACUUUCCGCUUUCGAGGUUCUCGCCUGUGACUAGCCGUAAACCCCCCCAACUUUCAAUGAU